rnacentral:rRNA from 1 species
GUAGGGUGCAAGCGUUGUCCGGAAUUAUUGGGCGUAAAGAGCUCGUAGGCGGUUUGUCACGUCGGAUGUGAAAACUCGGGGCUCAACCCCGAGCCUGCAUACGAUACGGGCAGACUUGAGUACGGCAGGGGAGACUGGAAUUCCUGGUGUAGCGGUGAAAUGCGCAGAUAUCAGGAGGAACACCGGUGGCGAAGGCGGGUCUCUGGGCCGAUACUGACGCUGAGGAGCGAAAGCGUGGGGAGCGAACAGGAUUAGAUACCCUGGUAGUCCACGCCGUAAACGGUGGGUGCUAGGUGUGGGGAACAUUCCGCGUUCUCCGUGCCGCAGCUAACGCAUUAAGCACCCCGCCUGGGGAGUACGGCCGCAAGGCUA